UACGGGGGGGGCAAGCGUUGUUCGGAAUUACUGGGCGUAAAGGGCUCGUAGGCGGCCAACUAAGUCAGACGUGAAAUCCCCAGGCUCAACCUGGGAACUGCGUCUGAUACUGGAUGGCUAGAGUCCGGAAGAGGAGAGUGGAAUUCCCGGUGUAGCGGUGAAAUGCGCAGAUAUCGGGAAGAACACCCGUGGCGAAGGCGGCUCUCUGGGACGGUACUGACGCUGAGACGCGAAAGCGUGGGGAGCGAACAGG
rnacentral:rRNA from 1 species